UACGAAGGGGGCUAGCGUUGUUCGGAAUCACUGGGCGUAAAGGGUGCGCAGGCGGAUUUUUAAGUCAGGUGUGAAAUCCCAGGGCUCAACCUUGGAACUGCCUUUGAUACUGGGGAUCUUGAGUCCGGAAGAGGUGAGUGGAACUGCUGGUGUAGAGGUGAAAUUCGUAGAUAUUCGCAAGAACACCGGUGGCGAAGGCGGCUCACUGGUCCGGAACUGACGCUGAGGCACGAAAGCGUGGGGAGCAAACAGG
rnacentral:rRNA from 1 species